GCCUGAUAUUGAAUUUUGGUACAGUUUGUACAGGAUAGGCGGGAGCCAUUGAAACCGGAGCGCUAGCUUCGGUGGAGGCGCUGGUGGGAUACCGCCCUGACUGUAUUGAAAUUCUAACCUACGGGUCUUAUCGACCCGGGAGACAGUGUCAGGUGGGCAGUUUGACUGGGGCGGUCGCCUCCUAAAGUGUAACGGAGGCGCCCAAAGGUUCCCUCAGAAUGGUUGGAAAUCAUUCGUAGAGUGCAAAGGCAUAAGGGAGCUUGACUGCGAGACCUACAAGUCGAGCAGGGACGAAAGUCGGGCUUAGUGAUCCGGUGGUUCCGCAUGG
rnacentral:rRNA from 1 species